GAGAAGACUUUGAUCAUGAUAUAUUAGAUGUAAGCCCCAUACACCAUGGGCGGUCCUCCUUUUGGUGAUAUGAGCCGGGAUAAGUGCUGCCAUGGUGGCGCAGUCACACUGGCACAACACCCCGCGUCGUUCGCGCCGAUGCUGAUGUGUUCUGCCUCCAUGCUUCGCCCUGCGAUUCCAUCCGCUGGGAGGUGUGCGCACAUAUGUUUCAUCCCCAAUACUACUUAUGUGAUUUACUCAUAUACCUACAUGAACCGGCAUAAUUGUUGGAAAUGUUUUUAAAGAAGUAUAUCUUAAUUAGUUUAGCUCCCUGGCGGAGAAAAUCUUAUCUGACUCUCAUUUUGCAGAUAGUCGCCCAAACAACACACCAUGUCGUGGGCUGGCAUACCAUGGUCGGAGACUAGACCAAGUGCUCGGCAUGGAGCCACAUUAUAUAGUCUAUUGGCAGAUUUAGAUUCCCCUCAAAAAAUAAUACCAUUGUGUUAAUGUUGAAUACUAUUUCGAGUUUGCGAGACAACAACCGCUACAAUAAAAUUUGCAACUUAGCAUGUUUAGUGCAUUCUGGUUGUGAGUAGAUGUAUUUUAGUUUAAGGAAUAUGUGUCCUUGUGGCCACUUGUAGUUUAACAUUUUGUCAUUUUUUGCAAAGAUGUUCUCCUGUAGUUAUUUGAUUACUAUUUGACCCACGUCAUUUGCAAAUAUUUAUGUUUGCCGAUUGUCCA